rnacentral:misc_RNA from 1 species
AACGCACCUUGCGCCCCUUGGCAUUCCGAGGGGCACACCCGUUUGAGUGUCGUGAAAUCAUCAAAAACCCUUUUCUGUUUACCGAAAAGGAUUUUUGGACUUGGAGGUUUAAUGCUUGCCUUUCACUUUUGAAAGCGAGCUCCUCUCAAAUGAAUUAGUGGGGGGUCCGCUUUGCUGGUCCUUGACGUGAUAAGAUGUUUCUACGUUUUGGAUUUAGCACUGUCCCUUUGGAUUCCUGCUCCUAACUGUCCAACGGACAAACGAUGGUGCUCCGGUCGUCGCCGUCUACAUUGGCGGGGGAGGGCUGGACCCACGAAAGAAAACCUUGACCUCAAAUCGGGUGAGACUACCCGCUGAACUUAA